GAUGAACGCUGGCGGCGUGCCUAAUACAUGCAAGUCGAGCGAACAGACGAGGAGCUUGCUCCUCUGACGUUAGCGGCGGACGGGUGAGUAACACGUGGAUAACCUACCUAUAAGACUGGGAUAACUUCGGGAAACCGGAGCUAAUACCGGAUAAUAUAUUGAACCGCAUGGUGCAAUAGUGAAAGACGGUUUUGCUGUCACUUAUAGAUGGAUCCGCGCCGCAUUAGCUAGUUGGUAAGGUAACGGCUUACCAAGGCAACGAUGCGUAGCCGACCUGAGAGGGUGAUCGGCCACACUGGAACUGAGACACGGUCCAGACUCCUACGGGAGGCAGCAGUAGGGAAUCUUCCGCAAUGGGCGAAAGCCUGACGGAGCAACGCCGCGUGAGUGAUGAAGCUCUUCGGCUCGUAAAACUCUGUUAUUCGGGAAGAACAAAUGUGUAAGUAACUAUGCACGUCUUGACGGUACCUAAUCAGAAAGCCACGGCUAACUACGUG
rnacentral:rRNA from 1 species